GUCCAGGGGGCCGCCUUCGCCACCGGUAUUCCUCCAGAUCUCUACGCAUUUCACCGCUACACCUGGAAUUCUACCCCCCUCUACAAGACUCUAGCCUGCCAGUUUCGAAUGCAGUUCCCAGGUUGAGCCCGGGGAUUUCACAUCCGACUUGACAGACCGCCUGCGUGCGCUUUACGCCCAGUAAUUCCGAUUAACGCUUGCACCCUCCGUAUUACCGCGGCUGCUGGCACGGAGUUAGCCGGUGCUUCUUCUGCGGGUAACGUCAAUCGACAAGGUUAUUAACCUUAUCGCCUUCCUCCCCGCUGAAAGUACUUUACAACCCGAAGGCCUUCUUCAUACACGCGGCAUGGCUGCAUCAGGCUUGCGCCCAUUGUGCAAUAUUCCCCACUGCUGCCUCCCGUAGGAGUCUGGACCGUGUCUCAGUUCCAGUGUGGCUGGUCAUCCUCUCAGACCAGCUAGGGAUCGUCGCCUAGGUGAGCCGUUACCCCACCUACUAGCUAAUCCCAUCUGGGCACAUCUGAUGGCAUGAGGCCCGAAGGUCCCCCACUUUGGUCUUGCGACAUUAUGCGGUAUUAGCUACCGUUUCCAGUAGUUAUCCCCCUCCAUCAGGCAGUUUCCCAGACAUUACUCACCCGUCCGCCGCUCGUCACCCGAGAGCAAGCUCUCUGUGCUACCGCUCGACUUGCAUGUGUUAGGCCU
rnacentral:rRNA from 1 species